GGGAAGCGGAAGGCUGCUCCUAGGGGCUUCAUUAAGUCUUACCCACAAUUUCCCAACACAAAGAACUCUGGGAAUUGUAGUUCCCCAGAGAUUUGGGGCCUUUAGCUCAUGAAGUGUGCUGUUUCAAAGGUGCGCAGAUCCAGGAUGUGACAGAUAGGUUGUCAAGAUUUACCAAGCCCUUUGACUAUUAUCCCAUAAUCUACGUGGGAAGGAGUAACACUGCCAGGAACAGUUAUGAAUGUAUCACAUCUGACUACAAAGAAGAUGAAGAGGCAGAGGAAAUCCUCAUCAAAUUGGCAAAUGACACAAAACAGGGUCAAGCAGAGGCUGGAAUAGAUGGCCCAGAAGACCCCUUCUAUGAUUCUGUGACCUGAUAGGAGAGGAAUACUCCUUCAUUACUCAAUUAAAAAAACAGCACGUCAGGUA